rnacentral:misc_RNA from 1 species
UACGGAGGAUGCGAGCGUUAUCCGGAUUUAUUGGGUUUAAAGGGUGCGUAGGCGGCGCGUCAAGCCGGUGGUAAAAUUGCGGGGCUCAACCCCGUAGAGCCAUCGGAACUGGCGUGCUUGAGUGGAGAAGAAGUAUGCGGAAUGCGAGGUGUAGCGGUGAAAUGCAUAGAUAUCGCGCAGAACUCCGAUUGCGAAGGCAGCGUACUAUUCUCCAACUGACGCUGAGGCACGAAAGCGUGGGGAUCGAACAGG